UUAUUGUAAACCCGAUGUUGUGUUGGCUUGUUUAGUGUCGAUUACUGGUUUACGUGUUUAUGUUUGAUUGAAUAAUUGAAGUUAAGAAAAAUAGAAAAAUGUAUGUGAAUUGAUAAAUGGAUAAUGUCGACAGCCUAACUAGAUAUCCUGGGAGAUGGUGGACGGACCGGGUCCAUAGGAAACCCUACCGGGAACGUGGUCUCUCAUAUCAGACGGGGUAUGGAGACUUUAUGUGUUUUGGCGCCCAUACCGGACGGGGUAUGGGACGACCCAUUUCACCCUCAUAUCGGACGGGGUAUUGAAGUUUAUGGUU
rnacentral:lncRNA from 1 species